rnacentral:rRNA from 1 species
GUGCAUAGCUCCUUUGACAAGGAGCUUGCUAGGUUCUUCUGGAGGGUAGGGGAUGGUCGGCCCAAGUACCAUAUGGUGAAGUGGGCUGACAUUUGCUUGUCGAAGGACCGAGGUGGGUUGGGCAUCCCUACAUCUCGCCGGAUGAACGUUGCGCUUAUGCUGCGUUGGGUUUGGCGGAUCUUGCGGGGAGAUGAGGGGUUGUGGCUGCAGGUGGUUGAGUCCAAGUACUUGCAGGGCCAACCCCUCAUGGCUUGCUCACACUCGGCUGGGUCCCAGUUCUGGAAAUCUAUUUUGGCCAUCAAGGAAUAG